AUCAUAUCUUUAUUUUGGUCUGCAUCCUAAGCAGAUAGACAUUGUACAUGUAAGGAAUUUACAUAACAAGAAGAGGCUUAAGGAACGCUUGGUUAAAAUCAAGUCAAACAUAACAAUAUCCAAUGGAUAACAGCAGUCAGACAGCUAAGGCAUAGGUAUAAUAUUUAUCCCAAAUAUACCAGUUUUCAACUCUUCUGGCAAAGGAGUACACCCAAGAUAUAGUUCUAUUCAGUUUUGUUGCAAUUGUUGUUGCGAAAAG
rnacentral:misc_RNA from 1 species